UAGGGAAUCUUCGGCAAUGGACGGAANNNUGGACCGAGCAACCNCNCGUGAGUGAAGAAGGUUUUCGGAUCGUAAAGCUCUGUUGUAAGAGAAGAACGAGUGUGAGAGUGGAAAGUUCACACUGUGACGGUAUCUUACCAGAAAGGGACGGCUAACUACGUGCCAGCAGCCGCGGUAAUACGUAGGUCCCGAGCGUUGUCCGGAUUUAUUGGGCGUAAAGCGAGCGCAGGCGGUUAGAUAAGUCUGAAGUUAAAGGCUGUGGCUUAACCAUAGUAGGCUUUGGAAACUGUUUAACUUGAGUGCAAGAGGGGAGAGUGGAAUUCCAUGUGUAGCGGUGAAAUGCGUAGAUAUAUGGAGGAACACCGGUGGCGAAAGCGGCUCUCUGGCUUGUAACUGACGCUGAGGCUCGAAAGCGUGGGGAGCAAACAGGAUUAGAUACCCUGGUAGUCCACGCUGUAAACGAUGAGUGCUAGGUGUUAGACCCUUUCCGGGGUUUAGUGCCGUAGCUAACGCAUUAAGCACUCCGCCUGGGGAGUACGACCGCAAGNUG
rnacentral:rRNA from 1 species